UGCGCAUGGCAAAUUAAGCCACCGACAAACCUAAAUGUUAUUUGUUUGCAUUUUUCCUGUGACAGUUAUUUAUCUACUAGUAUUAUUCACUACUUGAUGAAAGCGUUUUCUGUCUCAAUUAUACAAAUUUUUCGGUGAAUGCUUAUCUGUGAUACGCUGUUACGCUGUUUUCUAACGACAGCAGAUUUACCUGCAAAUGUUUCCAAUCUACCUAUACUCAUUAUGCGUAUAAUACAUACGUAGCUCAGCGGUGUGUAUUAUAAACUAGCGCUGUAUGUUUUCAAGAAUGAUAAUUAUGUAACCUUUUCUUCCGAUCCUUGAGAUAAAAACAUUCUUUAAAAAAUUACUGUAAAACGAUUAAACAAAACACGUUUGUUCAACCUACUCGUGUCUUAUAUUUGGAAACAAUAAUAACGAUUCAGUCGUUCGAUUUGCAAAGCAACUGCAUAAUUGAACAUAGGAGACGACAUCAUAAAAAUUUGAUUAUCCAUAUUUGUCACUGAAGUGUAAUAUUGGGUUUUUAAUUGCAUUUUCUCAGGCGUUAUCGAGAAUUACAAUUCUUCAGAAUGAAAUGAGAAUAAAAAAUACCGCCAUAUUGAUAAAAUUGGACUACUAAAUUCGAUAUCAAUGAAAGAUGAACAGAUAUCUCUGUUACCCGCAUUAUGAUUCAUUUAUAGAGGAUUAACUGAUCAAGAUUAGCUUUCCUAGUCAUUGGGGGGUCGGGCGUUUGCCUGUACCCCCCACUAAUGAUAUUUUAGCUACGAUUAGUAUGUUUGAACAAAUAAAAACCGAACCGAUGGGAUUCUAUACCGCAUAUCCACCACCCCAGGACACCCAAGCACCAAUUACUGCAUCCAAUCGCAUCGAGCAAAAUCAGCAAACAAUAAUAGCUGUAAAUGAAUGCAAGUCAACUGAAAAUAACAAUACUUCAGUAGUAUCUACACAAACAGCAACUAGUCAUUCCAUCACACAAGGCCGGAACAAACGGCAAACCUGCAAAACAUGCGGAAAGACUUUAUCUUCUCCUAGCAGUUAUUAUGUACACAUGAAAUUACAUUCGGGAACAAAACCUUUUACGUGCACCGGACGAACGUGAAAGAUGACAGUCAAAACAGGAGCUACAACGGUUAAACAAACGGCACAUACUAGUCACAGGUUCAUGGUAUCCGUAAUUUGUUCGUGUUGAGGAGAUGUAGAGAAAAUGACGAGAACGCAAGUUACGACGAUUAACAUUAAAGUUGAUUAACCGGAGAAGCUCAGGACAGUCGAUUCUAGCGGUAAUUAAGUCCGAAGUAAAUAGGGCCUUGGCAACGUUUCUCCGUGAAACUAAUGAGUUAAUCCCUAUUAGUUUGCAUCGAUCCUCGUAGCUAGGAAGAUUUAUUGGGUCAUUCCAUGGUAAAUUGCGUAGUGCGAAUCGGAUGAAUUUCCGCUGGAUCGACUCAAUUCGAUGAACACUAUUCUGGUAGUACGGCGACCACACCACACAAGCAUACUCUAGAAUCGAGCGAACCAACGAGCAAUAGAGAGUCUUGAUACAGUGCACGUCCUUGAAUCGCUUUGUGACGCGGAAGAUAAAUCCAAGUGUUCUGGAUGCUUUAGCGAUGAUAUAGGAUACGUGGUCGCGAAAGCUUAUAUUCGAAGAUUAUCGACGAACGCUUGCGUGAGAACGAUAUUACCGAACACUUUGAUGGAUUCAAAAGCAUCCUGUUGUUUGCACACCAUUCGGCGAAGAUGUUGAGUUGCUGUUGUAAAAUCUCAGCAUCUCCGAUGCAGUUUACUGGGAGGAACAAUUUGAAGUCAUCUGCAU